rnacentral:rRNA from 1 species
UACAGAGGGUGCGAGCGUUGUCCGGAAUCACUGGGCGUAAAGGGCGCGUAGGCGGCUUGAUAAGCGUGCGGUGAAAGCCCGGGGCUCAACCCCGGGUCGGCCGUGCGAACUGUCGAGCUGGAGCACUGUAGAGGCAGGUGGAAUUCCGGGUGUAGCGGUGGAAUGCGUAGAGAUCCGGAAGAAGACCGGUGGCGAAGGCGGUCUGCUGGCGAGUACCUGACACUGAUGCGCGACAGCGGUGGGGAGCAAACAGG